AUUUGGAAACUUAUUAAUAUUUUAUGGCAAAUUUGUUUAAAUUAAGAAUAUGAUUUUUAUUAUUAGUUUAGAAUUGAUUAUUUUUAUUAUAGUUUACUAGUACUGUGAAGGAAACCGAUAAAUAAUUCUAAGAAAAAUUAAGUUUUUGUACCUUGUGUAUCAGGGUUUAUUAAUUAAAAUUUAGUUAAUUUAUUUUUCCCGAAUUUAAAAGAGCUAUAAUAAUAUUAUUUUAUUGUUAAAAAAAUAUUUUUAAUAUUAUUAUUGAAAUUAGAUGUUAUUCGUUUUUAAAUUUAUCUGGUUUUUCAAGAAAGAAAUUCAAUUUUUUUAUUAAUAAGGAAUUUUCUUUAUAGUUAGUUAAUUUUUUUUAAUAAGGAAUAUUUAAGGGGUUGAGCUUUUAAAUAAAAUUUUAUAAGAGGUUUAGAUUUUCUAAUUAAAUAGAAUUAAAAGUUUUUAGUUUAUUUAUAAUGUUAUAAUUUAUUUAGGUUGGGAUAUUAUUUUCUUUUCUUUAAUUAUUUAUUGAAAUAAAUUAUGUAAUUUUGCUUUAAUUGAAAAAAUGAUUGAAUUAGUAUAUAUAGUUUGUUAAUCUUGGGGAAAUUUAAGGUUAUGAAAAGUAAUUCGGCAAAAUAAUUUUUCACCUGUUUAUUAAAAACAUGUCCUCUUAGAGUAUAAUUAGAGGUCGGGCCUGCCCACUGAGGAUUUAAAUGGCUGCGGUAUUUUGACCGUGCGAAGGUAGCAUAAUAAUUAGUUUUUUAAUUGAAAGCUGGAAUGAAUGGUUUUAUGAAAAAAUUACUGUCUCUUUAUAAUUUAGUUAGAAUUUUAUUUUUAAGUAAAAAAGCUUAAAUUUUAUUGAAAGACGAGAAGACCCUAUAGAGUUUUAUAAAAUUUUUACUUUAUUAUUAUUAGGAUUUAAACUUUAGAGUGGAAAAUUUAUUUGGUUGGGGCGAUUGAAAAAUUAAUUAAACUUUUUUUUUAUAAUAACACUUAUUUGUGAUUAUUUGAUCCAUCUUUGAUUAUAAGAUUAAAUUACCUUAGGGAUAACAGCGUAAUCUUUCUUAAGAGUUCAAAUCGAAAGAAGGGGUUGCGACCUCGAUGUUGGAUUAAAAUUAAGUCUUGGUGUAGAAGCUAAGAGAUUAGGUCUGUUCGACCUUUAAAAUUUUACAUGAUCUGAGUUUAGACCGGCGUGAGCCAGGUUGGUUUCUAUCUUUAAUCAAAGUAAAUAUUUCAGUACGAGAGGACCAAUUAUUUGGUAAAUUACCUAUUAAUUGAAUAUUAAU
rnacentral:rRNA from 1 species